CUGACCCGGUCGCGUGAUGGGCUCCGGCCGACGACGGAACAGGAAGCCGGUGCGAGUCCGGCGCGGUCCCGCCACUGUCACCGGGGAGUGCCCUCCCCACACCGGCGCCACCGCCCGCGAGGGUGGGAAGGCCGGGGAGGGCGUACCGAUCCGGGAGCCAGGACACUGCCCGUCGUCGCGGAUUCCCA
rnacentral:ncRNA from 2 species